rnacentral:rRNA from 1 species
CAACUUUCAACAACGGAUCUCUUGGCUCUCGCAUCGAUGAAGAACGCAGCGAAAUGCGAUAAGUAAUGUGAAUUGCAGAUUUCAGUGAAUCAUCGAAUCUUUGAACGCACCUUGCGCCUUCUGGUAUUCCAGAAGGCAUGCCCGUUUGAGUGUCAUUA